rnacentral:lncRNA from 1 species
CGACAAGGACAAAACAAGAGAAGUUAAUAAUGGGCCACACAAACAAAAGAGUCUUCAAUCCUCCCGACAAGUCUGGUCUUACCAGUCAACUCUCAGUUCCUUGACUUAGCUCUUCACCAGCCUUCCUCUUGCUCUACAAUAUGUGAGAACGUUCCUGGUCGAUCUGGUCUCUCUCCUUCCGGACGCGCUCUAGUUCUUCCUCUGGACCUGCAGCAGCAACUGUUAUGUCAACAAAAACAAAAAAAAUACCAUGCAUAACGAUUGGUGUCAAUCGCUAGUCUUACCCC